rnacentral:rRNA from 1 species
UCGAGCGAGAAGCCACCUUCGGGUGGGGGAAAGCGGCAGACGGGUGAGUAACACGUGGGAACGUACCCUUUGGUUCGGGACAACUCCGGGAAACUGGAGCUAAUACCGGAUAAGCCCUACGGGGGAAAGAUUUAUCGCCGAAGGAUCGGCCCGCGUCUGAUUAGCUUGUUGGUGGGGUAAUGGCCCACCAAGGCUCCGAUCAGUAGCUGGUCUGAGAGGAUGAUCAGCCACACUGGGACUGAGACACGGCCCAGACUCCUACGGGAGGCGGCAGUGGGGAAUAUUGGACAAUGGGCGCAAGCCUGAUCCAGCCAUGCCGCGUGAGUGAUGAAGGCCCUAGGGUUGUAAAGCUCUUUCGGCGGGGACGAUAAUGACGGUACCCGCAGAAGAAGCCCCGGCUAACUUCGUGCCAGCAGCCGCGGUAAUACGAAGGGGGCUAGCGUUGUUCGGAAUUACUGGGCGUAAAGCGCACGUAGGCGGAUCGUUUAGUCGGGGGUGAAAUCCCGAGGCUCAACCUCGGAACUGCCUCCGAUACUGGCGAUCUUGAGUCCGAGAGAGGUGAGUGGAACUCCGAGUGUAGAGGUGAAAUUCGUAGAUAUUCGGAAGAACACCAGUGGCGAAGGCGGCUCACU